rnacentral:tRNA from 1 species
GGAGUUGUGGCUCAACAGUAGAGCGCUUGCCUUACAAGUAUGAGACCCUGGGUUUGAUCCUCAGCACCA